CCGGGUGUGAUAAAAACAAAAAGGAUCUUCGCCUCUGUCUCAUCGGUUUCUCUCUCUAAGGCUAGAAGAGGAACUCGAGGAGUUGCCAUUCCAGAAAAGGAGAAGCCUAAAGGAGGAGGAGGCUUAAGAGACACAUGACGAGGCUUCGCCUCCGGGGGACGGCGCCAGAGAAUGGACUGGGGGACAGCUCGAAGGCGUUCUUCACAUGGGAUAGAUCGGUUGUUUUAGUUCGUAGCCCAAGAUGGCGCAACAGCCAUGAGGCGCCUGCAACUCAGCAUUUACGCUGCAUUUCAGAAAUCUUUC
rnacentral:lncRNA from 1 species